rnacentral:lncRNA from 1 species
AAUUUUUUUCCGAAUGUCUACAGUCAAUAUGGCCAAGAGAAAUGGUUAUUCUUUUGGUUAGUGUUUAUAUGUACUUAAUUAUGGCGUAAUAAAUGCUGAUUUAAGUAACAAACUUACCAGCCGGUUGUUGCAGUUCACUUGGCUUCUAGAGACGUAUCCCCAAGUUUCACUGGGCCGUAAGGCCUAUGAUACCUACUUUGCAGCUUAAACAAAUACAUUAAUAUGGGUUAGUAUUAUAUUAAAUGUUUCUCUAACGUCUAACCAGUAAUUUAUUAACGUUUUAAAACUUUUAGGGCAAGUAUACCGCCAAAUGAGCCAUAACAACCGAGCCGAAACUAUAAACCGGUGGCGAGUAACAAGCGUAAACCGCACAUCAGUAUUUGCGUUAUAAUUAACCAGUAAGUGAGUGCAAUGACGAGAUUGGGUGAAAUUAUUGUAUUUAUUUUUUUAAUUUCACAUUUUCCCUCUUGCUUCGAAGCCCAGCCCACUUUUGGCGGAGCCGGGUGGUCGUAACUCAAUAGUUACGCAUUUCAUCUAACGUUCAUCACCAAAAUAUAACUGUUUUGUGGAAUUACGAUACAAUAUUUUUCACUGGCUAGUUCUUUGCUUCCUCUUUAACUAGGAUUUCUGGGAGUUGAAACCGAAUUUAUUACGGGUUUUAGCCGGGCGAAGCGAGGCAUGCUAGGCGAGGCAGGCAAGAAGCCAGACAGGAAGCGAAGCGAGGCGAGUUGAGGUAGGGAGCCGGGCGAGGCAAGGGAGCCGGCGGAGGGCGAGGUUGAGGGGUUUCAGAAUAUUUGUACAGUGUAUAUUAAAUUUUUAAAAGUGGACAACCAUGGAUUUUAGCAUCGGAAAAACACAUUGGUCAACAACCAAAAAGCACCAAAACUAAACUAACGUAACGUAGCCUAACAACGUAACAUAGCCUAACCUGGAGGUUCGUUGGUUGUCUGCUUGUAAAAAAAAAAUACCGGGUUCCUAAAAUAAAUGUUAAGAUGUAUAUAAAGACACCGUUAAAAUGUAUUGGUAAAUAAGGCCGUAACCAUCUAAUUAACCUCUGGAAAAUGUUAAAAUGUUUGGCUCGCCUGAAGAUUCAUCCCCCAGCUUAUUUCAACUGAAGAUCAAUUUAACCUAAGCCAAUCUACGUAUUACAAUGUGUUGGCGAAUCUUUCUUUUUCAGAUCAUGGAAUGACUGCAGAUUCAACUACAGUACAAAACCCUCUGUUAUUGGUGUGGUGCAGUAUGUGGUCAGUGUGGUGCAGUAUGAGGACACAAGUGAAGUGUGGAGCAGUAUGUGGGGACAACAGACCACGAGUGAAGCUUCUCACAAUACACAACGGUGUUCCUUCAGGUAACAGCUGAUGUACGUGAAGGCCAAUGGAGAAGUGACAGAACCUCGAGCAAGAUUUAACUACCAGCAUGUUACUUCAGCCUCAUCAGUUAAGUUACUUGUACAGUAUAUCUUAGCUAGUAUCUUUAUCCAAUAAACCACUCGACACUGCUCCUACACUGGGCAGUGGAGGGUGUGUGGGGGGUGCCUUGCUGACUGUUUGAGGCCUAAUAGGUCUGUGUGUAGACCUAGUGAUCAGUGUGUGAGGCCUGGCGGACACUCUUGGAGGACUGUGUUGGAGGGCUAUGGAGGACGAUCUGUAGACAGACUGAUAUUAGAGUAAAAUUAAUAUUAGUUGUAGUGACAGUAGAAAUAUACAGAACUGUAUGCCUAUUGAUUAUUAGUGAAAAUUAGUAGCAGUAGUAAACAUAGUGACAGCUGAUGUAUGUGAAGCCCAAUGGAGAAGUGACAGAACCUUGAGCAACAUUUAACACCCAGCAUGUUACUUCAGCCUCAUCAGUUAAGUUACUUAUAUAUAUCUUGGCUAUUAUGGUCAUCCCAUAAACUACUCAACACCGUGCUUCUACACUCGGCAGUGGAGGGUGUGUGGGGGGCCUGGCUGACUGUGUGAUGGAGGGUUCUGGAGGACUGUGUGUGAAGGAGGGCUCUGGAGGACUGUGAUGGAGGGCUCUGGAGGACUGUGUGUGAAGGAGGGCUCGUGAGUACUGAGUGGACAGAUUGGUCUUCGAGUAAAAUUAAUAUUAGUUGUAGUGACAGUAUAAAUAUACAGGACUACAUGCCUAUUGGUUAUUAGAGAAAAUUAGUAGUAGUAGUGGUAGUAGUAGUAAAUACAGCAAGUAAAGCAAGUUGUUGUGGGUGGGUUUCAACUAACUUUACUAACCUAACUUAACCAGCCUAAGUUAAUUAAACGUAAUAACGUAGACUGAAGCAAAUCCGUAAUAAGGUCACCGCGACCCCUAGCUGGGGACGUCAAAGGCUCGGUCGGAUUGGUACACCGUCAAUGACUCAGCUCAUCUUGGAGGGAGGGGGGGGGUGGCGAGCUACCUCCGGUGUCCUGGCUGAACUGCGAGAGGGGCAACCACUGGUGUCCUGCCUUCCUGCGAGAUGGUCGUUGAUCUACCCGACCCGUCUUGGGACAACAACCACGGAGUCUAGCAUGUGUAGGAGUCGAUGGGGUCACUGAGCCCGAAGGCGAGAUGAAGGUAACGGGCGCCUGGUGCGUCUUGGGCAGAUCCUCAACUGGCUGCCUCUGGCCGUGCACGUGUGGCGUUUGCGUGGUUGAGACCCUUUCCCCCCACUGGGAAAAGGGCCUUCCCCCGCGCAUGACCACGUGAGUGCACAUGUCGCUGCGUUUCUCUGGGUGCACACGUCGCCACCUCAGCUUGUUUGCAGCUGGGUGGGUGGAGCGGCCCAAAAAGCUCCCAUCUCGCCUCCCUAUUUUCCCUUCCUUCAUAUCUUUGAGUUAUAUAUAAAAAUAAGUGUUUUUAUGUCUACUUAAAUAAAUUAUAUACAAUAUGCCUAUAUGCCUAUCGAUUGAUUUUUAUCCUAAGAGUUAUCUGAUAAAAAUGUGAAUUUAUUAGGAAGGUACUGGUAUGGAGGGUAGGACAUGGAACACUAUGAAUUAGUGCUUUAUUUGUAGUAAUAAUUAUAUAAACAAAAUGACAACUCAUAAUUUAUGGUUAAGUGAAAAAAAAUUGUAGCUGUCGUAUUUAAUAUUUGGUUAGGUAGGUUAAGUUAAAGUUAGGGUAGGUGAGGUUAGGUGAGGCUAGGCUAGGUUAUUUCCAUGUUUUGUGCCAGUUAUUCACUGGCAAUGGGGGGGCAAUUGUACAUGAACCAAGCUGUGCAGCUUUUUACAACCAUGACAUUGCAGGUGUGACUAGCCUACAGUAUUUUAGGCCUACUUCAAAAUGUUUUUUCUGUGUUUUCGAUCAACUGAUAACUAUAAAAACAGAGAUAUAGAAGACCGAAAGCUUAAAAAGACAGGUGGUGGUCCACGAGAAAAAAAUAUUAAAAGCUUCAGAAGAAACUGCCUUAACAGCAUCACUGAUGAGGGCCGAGUUAGCAGUGGCUGGUGAUUUUUACGAGACCUUCCGCAGUCACCCAGUAGAUGAAGAAAUAAUUCCUUAUAGAAUGUGCAGAUAGGUGAGAAUAUUUAUUGAUUUAUACAGUUGUAUGCAUUCUCAUUGAUACCAUUGCUCAAUCGCCUUUGGCUGUGUAAAAAUCAAACGGCAGCAGUGACCUACCUUAUACUGACUUUUUGCAGUUUUGCCUGUUCCAACCCCAGGGCCAUCAACUGUGCUCACCAGUCAUUGUUCCUGCCUCGACAGUGAAUGCUCCUACCUCACCAGUGAAUGCUCCUGCCUCGCCAGUCAUUGUUGCUUCACCAGUCAUUGUUCCUGCCUCACCAGUCCUUGCUCCUGCCUCACCAACACUGGAGCAGGUUCAGAUAUGACUGUAGCCUACAGUAUUUAAGGCCUACUUCAAAAAAUGUUUUGUUUGUUUGUUUUCGAUCUACUGAUGUAAGUGCACAACAGCAUCGUAAAGUAUAACCAUGUUUUUGUACUCCAUUUUUAUGGCAAAUUUACAUUUUUUAAACUAUAUACACUCUUUGAAUAUUACUGUAUUGUAAAAUCCUACAAAACCGUCAUAUAUUUCUUUUGUGAUGCAUAUAUGUACAGUAAAUGAUAUUAGUCUGUUCUGCAUCCCCUUUGGCCAUAGGCAUUGGUGAUGAAAGCAUUAUAAAAGCCAAUGCUGCUGCUAUUGUUAUACAGCAUUAAUUUCUUCUGUUUCUUUCAGAACUAUAAAAACAGAGAUAUAGAAGACCGAAAGCUUAAAAAGACAGGUGGUGGUCCACGAGAAAAAAAUAUUAAAAGCUUCAGAAGAAACUGCCUUAACAGCAUCACUGAUGAGGGCCGAGUUAGCAGUGGCUGGUGAUUUUUACGAGACCUUCCGCAGUCACCCAGUAGAUGAAGAAAUAAUUCCUUAUAGAAUGUGCAGAUAGAUAUGACUGUAGCCUACAGUAUUUAAGGCCUACUUCAAAAAAUGUUUUGUUUGUUUGUUUUCGAUCUACUGAUGUAAGUGCACAACAGCAUCGUAAAGUAUAACCAUGUUUCUGUACUCAAUUUUUAAUGGCAAAUUUACAGGUUUUAAAACUGUCUACAGGCCCUUUAAAUAUUGCUGUAUUGUAAAAUUCUACAAAACCGUCAUAUAUUUCUUUUGUGAUGCAUAUAUGUACAGUAAAUGAUAUUAGUCUGUUCUGCAUCCCCUUUGCUCAUAGGCAUUGGUGAUGAAAGCAUUAUACAAGCCAAUGCUGUUGCUAUUGCUAUACAGCAUUAAUUUCUUCUCUUUCUUUCAGAAAUAUAAAAACAGAGAUAUAAAAGACCGAAAACUUGAGGGCCGAGUUAGCAGUGGCUGAUGAUUUUUACGAGACUUUCCGCAAUCACCCAGUAGAUGAAGAAAUAAUUCCUUGUGGAAUGUGCAAGUAGUUUUCCCUGUUCCAACCCUAGGGCCAUCAACUAUGCCUCACCAGUCAUUGUUCCUGCCUCACCAGUGAAUGCUCCUGCCUCACCAGUCAGUUUUCCUGCCUCACCAGUCAUUGUUUCUGCCAGGGCCGGCGCCAGCCUAUUUGGCGCCCUUAGCAGGACUGCAGCUGGCGUCCCCACCCGCCUCCCACUUCACGAUUGGGUUUGCCCACAAAGUAAUCCAGAAUCUACUGGGUGUAAUCGACAGCUCAGGCAGAGCUGUUGGGUGAGUGGAACUCGAAGCUGAUCGAGGGAGGAGUAGUGCGGGGCACUGACGCUCUCAGGCAUCAGUCCAGCGUCUGAAACUCCUCCACGCACAGGUUCCUCUUGGCCAAGAGCCUUGUAGAUUGGGACGACCUCCACACUAAUUUGGGAGAUGGAUGAAGGCCAGUGAACUCGGGUAAAUUCGUGAACACGAGCGUCAGGAACUAACCACCUCCUCUGGGAUCCAGUCAACUGGUCAGCCGUUCAAUGUCCAGUUUGUUGAUAUCACAGGCAGAGCAAACAGUGCCAGCCCCCUUCAUUGUUAUGGGUGAGUCCACUACUCAGUAGGGGUAUAUGGUGGCUGUGUUAUUCCUCUGAAUACACCUGUAUGUAUUCACCUGAAUUGUCUGAGUGUUUGGAGUCAGCAAGAGUAGGUUGACCAUCAGUUUGUGCGUGGGCAAAGGUACCAUAGUGGUGAAGAGAAGCUACUAAUUCUGGUGAUGUUAAAGUAUUAGUGUUGGUGCUGUAACUGGCAUCAUUGCCACUUGUAAUAGUGCUCAAAGGUGCUAUGUAAGAGUAUUGUGUGUGUUCUUGUACAUGUAAGUGGAAAAUGUACCUAAGUUUAACAGUACCAAAUAAGUAAAGCCAGGGAGUUGACCCCCAUCAUUCUCUCCCAUUGCUUGAUAUCAGAAUUACAGUGUACCCAUGUCAUAACCCCCGAGCCACAAUACCAAAGAUCAAGA